UGGAGCAUGUGGUUUAAUUCGAAGCAACGCGAAGAACCUUUACCAGGUCUUGACAUCCCGAUGCUAUUCUAGAGAUAGAAAGUUACUUCGGUACAUCGGUGACAGGUGGUGCAUGGUUGUCGUCAGCUCGUGUCGUGAGAUGUUGGGUUAAGUCCCGCAACGAGCGCAACCCCUAUUGUUAGUUGCCAUCAUUCAGUUGGGCACUCUAGCGAGACUGCCGGUAAUAAACCGGAGGAAGUGGGGAUGACGUCAAAUCAUCAUGCCCCUUAUGACCUGGGCUACACACGUGCUACAAUGGUUGGUACAACGAGUUGCGAGUCGGUGACGGCGAGCUAAUCUCUUAAAGCCAAUCUCAGUUCGGAUUGUAGGCUGCAACUCGCCUACAUGAAGUCGGAAUCGCUAGUAAUCGCGGAUCAGCACGCCCGCGGUCCGAAUACGUUCCGGCCUU
rnacentral:rRNA from 1 species